GACGAACGCUGGCGGCGUGCUUAACACAUGCAAGUCGAACGAUGAAGCCGGAGCUUGCUCUGGUGAAUUAGUGGCGAACGGGUGAGUAACACGUGAGUAACCUGCCCUUGACUCUGGGAUAACUGCGGGAAACUGUAGCUAAUACCGGAUACGACCCUCGGAGGCAUCUCCUGGGGGUGGAAAGAAUUUCGGUCAAGGAUGGACUCGCGGCCUAUCAGCUAGUUGGUGAGGUAAAGGCUCACCAAGGCGACGACGGGUAGCCGGCCUGAGAGGGUUACCGGCCACACUGGGAAGGAGACACGGCCCAGACUCCUACGGGAGGCAGCAGUGGGGAAUAUUGCACAAUGGGCGCAAGCCUGAUGCAGCAACGCCGCGUGAGGGAUGACGGCCUUCGGGUUGUAAACCUCUUUUAGCAGGGAAGAAGCGAAAGUGACGGUACCUGCAGAAAAAGCACCGGCUAACUACGUGCCAGCCGCCGCGGUAA
rnacentral:rRNA from 1 species